UGUCCCACUUAACAUAAAGCUUUUUUACGCUCAUUCGUCUAGCUUGCAUACCCUCGCGUCUUUUUUCUGCUGCAUCUUGCAGCCCAGGCGAAUGCAGGCGCACAUUUCCGCGCAAUAAAACCCACGGUCGUCGGUCAACGCACUAUCAUUCAUUCGUCCCGUCUGCGCGCGCCGCUCCCACGAUAGCCGAAAACAAGGCGAGGCGACGAAAUGACAUUGCCGAGAAACUGAAAAUAGCGCCUCCCCACAGCGCUCACGCGGCAGAUGGCGCGAUUUGCCGCGUACGCACGCACUGACCGCAGGCGGCGAGUUCGAAGCGGCAAAGAAAUCUUAGCACGAGAAGACGGGCGGCCCGCUCCUGAGAACGGAGACAGCUGCGGUGCUGUUGUCACGCGACCCCCCUCUGUAGUAUGCGUUCCAAGCCGGCGUGCCGAACCGUCGCCGCCGCCGCACGCCAGGCCCAACUGACCGGGACGGCCUUUUGAGGGCGAAGUGGUUUUGCAGGCCGCCGGAACCGCGCCUGCUCCGUAGACCAAAUAUUCGAAAGUUCAGGGAGUCGCGUGUCCGUUCUCUCCUUUUAAGUUGCGCUGUGGCUAUCGUUGUUACGAAAGGAGGGAUUGGAGGAGGAAGCGGGCACCCCUAGCACGACUUCCGGUCAAGUUGCGCGGAGAUAAAAAAAAAAAAAAAAAAAGCGAAAAAGAGUUACCACGACGGGGACGACGAACGCAAAACCAGUGACUGCCCCAGACGGACUGCCAACGCGACAGGGGAGUGCGUUCAAGAGCACGGCCGCGAUGAAGAUCCGGUUUCCUGGCAGGCGAAAAUCACCCGACGACUGGCGAGCGCUGAAAUUGGGGGGAGGCCCUUACCGAACGGCGGGUGGCCGAUGUCCCCUCCAGGGUUCUUCGUUGCGGGCGUGCAGCCGCCGGUCAAGCAGGGAGAAGAUGCAUCCCGCACCGUGAGCAAAAACGCCACGGGUGAAA
rnacentral:lncRNA from 1 species